rnacentral:rRNA from 1 species
UCUAAGUGGGGGUAAGAGGCGGCGGGAGUACGGAGGGUGCAAGCGUUAUCCGGAUUUAUUGGGGUUAAAGGGUCCGUAGGCGGACUUAUAAGUCAGUGGUGAAAGCCUGUCGCUUAACGAUAGAACUGCCAUUGAUACUGUAAGUCUUGAGUAUAAUUGAGGUAGCUGGAAUAAGUAGUGUAGCGGUGAAAUGCAUAGAUAUUACUUAGAACACCAAUUGCGAAGGCAGGUUACCAAGUUAUAACUGACGCUGAGGGACGAAAGCGUGGGGAGCGAACAGGAUUAGAUACCCCAGUAGUC